rnacentral:lncRNA from 1 species
CCGGGUCGGCUCGGUCCGGUUCACUUUCUGUCCUCAAAGAAAGAAAGAGCGGCUCUUUCACCCCCGGGAGGCGCGCGCCAACUUCUGCUUCAAGCACGAGCACAAAGUGACACAGGUUCCUGAAAGAGGCAACAGGUGGUUUCUGGACUACGUUGGAUCAAAUGGCUGCAUUGGUUUCAGC